GAACGCACAUUGCGCCCGCUAGUAUUCUGGCGGGCAUGCCUGUUCGAGCGUCAUUUCAACCAUCAAGCCCUAGGCUUGUGUUGGGGCCCUGCGGCCGUCCGCAGCCCCCUAAAAACAGUGGCGGGCUCGCUAUAUACCGAGUGCAGUAGUUUACUCUUCGCUCAGGACAUGUAGUGGGUUCUUGCCGUAAAACCCCCCAUUUUUUAAGGUUGACCUCGGAUCAGGUAGGGAUACCCGCUGAACUUAAG
rnacentral:misc_RNA from 1 species